rnacentral:lncRNA from 1 species
UGGUGCAUCGCGCCGUCACUCCGCUUUCUCUCGGCGCUCAUUGGACGAGGCGGAGGCUCCCCCCCUGCCUCCCGCCCCUCCCGCCGCCGUCGGUCGAGGCGAGCCGCGAGUAAAUAGAGGCAGGAGCGCAAAAUGGCGGCGCCGCCGAGCCCCGGCCGUGGCGCCGCGUCGCCAGAGCCCUUGGGCUCCAGGCCGGGCCCGGACGCGAAGCCUCCCCGCGGGUCGCAGCCGGCCGCUAAGAAAAUGAAAGGGACCGACGAGAGGAGCCUGAAGGGCUCCAAGCGUGUCAACGGCGAAGGGGGCGGUGGAGGAGGAGGAGGAGGAGGCGGCAGCAAGCAGCCGGUGGUGCCGAGCUUCGGCGGCCCCGCGGCGUGGGGCUUCGCCGCGCUGCCCUCGGGGAGCUCGGGGGGCUUCGCCUUCCCCUCGCCGCUGCCCAAGAAGCUGCUGCCGUCGCCGCCCGUCGUGCUGCUGCCGCCGCCGCCGCCUCCCGCCUCGCCCUCCUCUUCCUACCGGCAGCACCAGCACCGCCACCACCGGCACCGCCUGGCUCUGCCCGCCGAGGGGGGUGCCGGCGGCUGUGCUGGCGGAGGGGUGGCCGUGGUGGGCAGCGCCAAGGCGAAGAAGCCGAAGGAGAAGCGGGAUAAGGAGAGGAGGAAGCACGGAGCCAUGCCCGGGGCUGGGAUCGUCGCCGCUGCCGCCGCUGCUGCUGUGGGGGGAGAUGGCGGCGGGGCGCUGAGCGCGGCGGCCCGUGAGGAGAACGGGGAGGUGAAGCUGCUGCUGCAGAAAGCUCAAAUCAAAGAGAAAAUGAAAGAAAGGGAAAAGAAACAGAAAGAGAAGAAGAAGCACAAAAUAAUGAAUGAAAUCAAGAAAGAGAAUGGAGAGAUCAAAUUAUUGCAGAAAGGUACGUUCAAGCUGCUUAGUGUUUUUUCAUUGUAGUGCUUUUAAAACCUUUGCAAUUGGAUUGAGUGCUGAAUUUUAAUAUUAUGUCUUUCAUUUAACUUAAAUGCCCUUUUCCAGGAAUAGCUGGUAUAAGGCUUGGAAUUUAAAACUUAAUUAUAAAUGCUAACUUUCUUCAACUGCAGACACUGCAGCUUAAAAAUAUACGUGUAAUUAUUGCCACAAUGCCAGUGUUCUUAUGCAGUAGCAGUAAAGACUGACGCUUUAAGGAAUGACAUUGCUGAUAUCUACACCAUCUCAACAGUUUGAAGAAGAUUUCUGUAUCAGUAGAGAGGAAAAAUGAAUCCAUGUCAUUAAAUAUCUAAUAGUAAAUGCACAAAACUAAAGAACCAAGGGGUUCUAGUUCAGGAACUUUGUUGCAUAAUGAGAAAUUAAGUGUGUGCAACAGGAAGUCGUAAUUUUGGCUAAUUUAUCCAAGCUCCAUUACUGCAGUGGAAUGUAAUGAAAAUGUUCCUGCACUUGCUUGUGCACGCACUGACUCGUAAAAUAGUACAGUAGUUGAGGGUGGGGGGGGGGCUCUGCAGAUAAUUUAGUCUAAUGCCACUGCUCAAAGUAGAACUGAGUAAAGCAGGUUUCUGAGGGCUGUGUCCCAUCAGACUCUGUGUCUGCAAGGAUGUAGACUCCAGAAUUUGCACAGCCAGUACCUGCAUUUGACCACCCUUGUUGUCUUACGUUGGAUUGGACUAGGUGAUUUCAAGGGGCCUUUACCAGCCUCAUUGAUUUUUGUGAGAUAUCUGCAUCUUUAUUCCUUCCCACUAGAUGUUUACACACACUGGAAAACUAAUUAACCUCAUAAAGCCUUUUCAGGCUGAAAAAUCCUGCUUUUCUUAGCAUCUCCUUUUGUGAGUAGUACUCUGUUCCUUCAGUCAUCUUCCUGGCCCUUUGCUGGACUUCCUCCAGUGUGCACAUGUCUGCCUUGGACUGGUGAGCCCAGAACUGGGCACGAUACUUCCAGAUGUAUGUCAACAGUGCUGAGCAAAGGGGAAGAAUCACUCCACCAGCCUGCUGGUGGAGCAGUUAAUGUUAUUCCUAAUCCUGUCCAGGAGACUUAGCCUGAUGGCUUAUGGUCAGCUUGGCAUUCACGAGGGCUCUGAAGUCCUUUCCUGUCAGGCUGCUUUCCAGUUGGGCUCCAGCCUGCAGAGCACAGGGUUAUUCCUCACAGCUGCAGGACUCUGCACUUCCCCGAGUUAACCUUGUGAGACUUCUGCUGGCCUGAUGUUCUCCAGCCUGUCAAGGGCCCUCUGGCUUGGCAGCACAACCCUCUUGUGCAUCAACCACUCCUUCCAGUUCUGUCUCCUCUGCGGACUUGCUGAGGGUGCUCUCUGUUCCGUCAUCCCUGCCACUACUGAAGAAUACCGAGCAGUGUUGGCCCACAGUAUCGGCACUGGAGUGCCCCAGUAUCACUGUCCUCUAGCUGGACAUCGUGCUGCUGAUCACAACCCUUUGAGCUCUGCAGUUAAGCCAGUCCUUGAUCCACCUCACUCUCCAUUUAUCUGCAUCGCGCUUUGCCGGUUUUUCCUGUGAGGAUGUUGGCUUGUUUAAGUAGACCCAAUGUUUUUUUAUCUGUUAUUUUCAGGCUUUGCUUUUGAAGUUAGGCAUAAACUCCUGAUAAUUUUUUCUGUUAUGCCUACUCUAGGGUUUAACUUACAACAAAAAACUGAACCUCCCAAAACAAAACGUUAUCUACAGCACAUUCCUGUGAGGUAGCAGGCAUGCAACUCUGUAAUUCCCGCAUCACGGUUUAGAGUGCAAAUACGGAUCCAAGGAACUGCAGUAGAAACUAUGACAGCUUAAAACCCGUGCCGAGCAGAUCUCUAGGUAUCAGCCUGCAGCACGCAGGAUGUUUGAGCUGGUGGCUUCCUGUGAAAGAUGUGACUUGUCUCCUCCAACGUGGAAGGAAGUUGGUGGCUGAGAUACUGAGCAAUGCUUAACUGCCUGGGCAGUGACGAUCUUCAGGCCUGGUUUCUGCACCAGCGCUUCCUACCUCAUGUGAUGAAUGGCAGCAGAAAGAGGCCAUGGGGUAGGAAGUUGCAAAAAGCAGCAAGGUUCUGUGGGGCAGCAGUGUCCUGUAGAGGCUGUGCCUGGUUUUGCCAGUGUCCUGCAAAAUUACUCCUGUUUCAAAGAAAGGAGUGUGUCAGGAGAGCAGAAAGCAGGCAGGAUAUAAACCUUCAUGGGGUUUAUAUCAUGUUCAGAACAGCAGCUCGGGAAUGUCUUUGUGGGCCUCCCCAGGUGUGUCCGGAUGUGCUUUUAUGUUCUGUGGUGAUGGUACAGCAUUUCCUGACUGCUUUGCUGCUGUAGCUCCAUGUCCUGACAGCUGAGGGCUAGAGGGCAAAGGCCCUACAAGAUAUAACAGUGCCUCUGUGACCUUCUGGAACGCUGGUAUCCUGAGGAGAACUUCUUCCUGGAACAAAAAUCAAGCUCUAUGCCCUCUUAUUCUGUGCUCACAAUUCACUGCAUGGACUAGGAGCAACGACUUGAAACCUCUGAGAACUCAGUGCCAGUCUGUGGGGACUGGUUAUGUCUCCUCCUAGGCAUUACAACCAGAUUUUGUUUUAAAAAUGUCACUUACCGUCUGCUGAAUGCUUUUAUUAUGCUGAGAAUAUUAUUAGUUUUUUGUCUUCUAUUUGUGACGUUCUUUAAGGGAGUGGUGGCAAUAGCCUGCGUAACUCCAGACAGUCAAACCAGGUGCCCGAGGUAAGGGUGGCUAGUUACAUGGGUCAGCAUUGAGAGCUUGAGGCCUUUUUGGGGAGAACUGCUGUAUAAGCCUGGUGUUGGUGCUUUGAGCUUAAUGCUGGAAGAGUUCACCUCAAUUAGAGAAGCUUAGGGAUGCAAGCAAUUCAUCUGCCUAAAUUGGUGGUGCCUUUCUGUUGAAAGCAGCAAUAAAUGUGCAGAAGGGCAACUUUAAAAAGGGGUAUUCUAUCGCUUCCUGACCUGAUUUAAAAAAAAAAAGUUAGCUCUUUCAGUGGGCCUGGUGGCUUUUAAGCAUCUAGAGCUAAAUGUUUUUGUCAUCCUUUUUCACUAGUAGAUAUUUUUUGCAGAGUAAAUCCAUAUAGUUGUUCCUUUUCCUCUGUAAUCUUUUAUUUGGAAGUGAAGACUGGUUUUUGGAAACAAAACUGCCUUAUACUUCCUUAAAUUGCUUAUUCCCGCCGUACUGAUUUGCAUGUACUAAUGACUUUACCAUCCUUAUGCACCAAGUUGCCAACUUCUACCUGUGAAAUAGAUGAGGACAGGGUAAACCACAGACAGUAAAAUACAGGUAAGGUUUGUGUGAUGAGAUGAUCUGAGAGCAGAGCUCUUAAAUUCCAGUGGGCCUCAGCCAUUUUUCAGAAAGAAUGCAGGCAGUCAUCCGUUUACCUCGUGCUGCUAGUGGGUCACUGCUUUCCGAGUUCAGCAGAGGCAUCUUUGCUGCGUGACCUUGCUUCCUUCCCUUCCCCAACUGCCUCAUUUCUGCCGCUGCAGUUGUGGCUGUCUGCAUUGCUCCUCCUGUUUAGCUGAUGCCUUCUGCUGGCUACAAUGAGGACCUGAGAGGAACCACAGGGCUAUCAGGGUGUGCUGCCUUAGGAUGGGAGCUCAAGGAAGAGCAGAGCUGCCCUAGCAUUGUAGGGGACAUGGGGUGGGAC